rnacentral:rRNA from 1 species
ACGGAGGAUGCGAGCGUUAUCCGGAUUCAUUGGGUUUAAAGGGUGCGCAGGCGGAGCGCCAAGCCGGCGGUAAAAUUGCGGGGCCCAACCCCGCCUCGCCGUCGGAACUGGCGCCCUUGAGUGGACGAGAGGCAGGCGGAAUGCGCGGUGUAGCGGUGAAAUGCAUAGAUAUCGCGCAGAACGCCGAUUGCGAAGGCAGCCUGCCGGCGUCCCACUGACGCUCAGGCACGAAAGUGUGGGGAUCGAACAGGAUUAGAUACCCUGGUAGUCCACGCAGUAAACGAUGGAUGCCAGCCGUCCGGGGCGAACGGGCCCUGGGUGGCGCAGCGAAAGCGUUAAGCAUCCCACCUGGGGAGUACGCCGGCAACGGUG